UUGCUCCAUCAGGCUGUUGUCUCAGUGGUUUGGUCUACAGGUCUCUGUGGAACACAUGAUAAUGGUCGUGAGUGACAACUGCCUUUGUGGUGGUUAAGAUCUUCUGUCAGAGGACCCUUCCCCGAGGGAGCUGCUGCCUGUGUUCGCAGGGUUCACACAGUUCUCUUCACUUGGCCAUGGAUUUCCAAUUCCUUUGGAACACGGAAACUAAAGAAUGUCUUUAAAUCUGCGAGAUGAACAUUGAAAAUGCAACUUCAUCAUCUUGAACCACCUACCUCCUCAGCCUGGCUCACAAGAAACAUUCAGUUUGGAGUCAUUGAAUUCAGAAUUCAACCAGAAUCCCACUUCAAAAUGGCACGAGAUUUUCCCAGCUGAACAUUCUACAGUUACGAUGUGUCCACCGAACAUGGAAACCUAAUGUGGAAUUGUCGUGGUUCUCCACAGAAGUAGUUGGCAUAGUCUAUUGUUGAAUGUGUAUGAGAGGAAGGA